AACACAAUGUAACCAGGCGGUGUCUUCUCUCUGGCCACCUUGCUGGACUUCCCUACUGUGCACUGAGGGAACCUGCAGGUGGCUUAGACUUUAGCUUUCCUUUCGCUUUCUGUGAAUGCCAGCACUACUGAAGCCCUUCGGAGCGCCCCGGACUCCUUGAAAGCCGGGAAAUGUAUAUAAAGUAGGCUACAUGUAAGAGGCAUAUAAGACACAUAAAGAAGAAUGCAUUCCCAGUCCUCUUUUGUGAUCCAGAACUGAUAUGUUGACAAGAGAUGUACUGUUUUAAGCACUGGUGUCAUUUGAAGACCUGGCUAUGAACUUCAUCUGGAAGGAGUGGCAGGGCCUGGACAAUGCUCAAAGAAUCCUGUACAGGGAUGUGAUGCUGGAGACCUACAGCAGCCUGCUGUCAUUGGGUCUUGAUGUAAAGCUGUUGUCUUUCAAGAAACCUGACCUAGUGAUUUAACAAAAUCCUACAUCAAUUUCCAUUAACAGGAUUGUGUGUUACCAAACCUGAGGUGAUCUUCAAGUUGGAGCAAAGAACAGAGCCAUGGAUGCUAGGAGAAGUCCUAAAUCAGAAACUUUCAGACUUUGGAGUUCUUAAAGGUCCAUGUGGUAUUUAUCUUCACAUCUCCAGUGACUCCUAACCUGAAGAUAUUAGCAUAAAUGUUCUGAAUACAUUGACAGAUGAACCUAGAUGAACCCAUGACCAAAUAAAUCCCUAAAUGCUAUCAUUUUAAAGUCAUUAAGAAAAUGCCAUUGAACUCCAGAUAAGCAAAAAUCACUUUUAAUUAUCAAGACUAGAAAAUACUUCAUGGUGAUGAACUCAGUCCUUGAAGAAUGAAUUGUCAGGAAUCCAACAGAGAGCAGUGGAGCCAAGCAGAGCAGAGUAUGGACUAUUCGAAAGCACUGAAAAAGAAAAGCAUAAAACUUGCCUAUGGAAUAAUGCCUGGACCACUGGUCUAAAAGGGAACUAAGUAUGUUUUAAGACUCAUGUGUCUGCCAGCCAUGGGGAGUCAGAGAAUGUUCUUGCCAGUAGUAAGACUGUAAAUGUGCAGGGAGAAGUGUGAUUACAAUACAUGGAGAGGACUGGAUGUGAAAAGAUAGUAGAUUCAAAGAGAAAAAUUAAACAAGAGACUGUAUGUAGGAGGCAAAAAUACUUGAAAUAGCAAUAACAUGGAAUAAAACUAAUGAACAUAGGACUGUUACAUCUAAUGAUCCUCCAAUUAGUAUUUAAAACUAUCAGUUUUAUAACCUUCAUUUCUCUACUCCUAGUCUUUAAGUCAUGAACACUACUUGACUUGGAAGACUGUCUAUAUGAUCCUAGGCACUUUUCCAUGUUCUGUUCUCACAUUCACCUUCAUCCCACUGCAGCAGCUAGAUUAUCUUUUUAGGUAAGAUACCCCUGCUUACUAUUCUCCAGUAGCUUCCAAUUGCAAUGGAAAUAAAAUGCAAACUUCUCACUGCAGUAAGACUCCAUCUAGCCUCUGACCUCUUCUCAGAUUUCCCACUUUAAAUCACCUGGCUGUGGUCACACCUAUCUUCCUUUGGUUUCUUUCAACAUUGGCUCAUUUUCAUUAAGAGAUUCCACAUUCCCAAUUCCCUCUGCCAGAAACAAUCUCCUCCUACAUUUUCACAUCUCGGCUCAAAUACAAUUUGUUCAGAGAUGCGAUCUCUGAUCACAAGUCCUAAGCUGGCCAUCCCUAGCAAAUUCUAAGUAUCCUCCUACCCUGCUUUAUUCUUUCAGAGUAACUGUCACCUUUAACAGUUACCAUUCUCUUUCUGUGCAUCUCAACCCUGUUCCUCCACCACAGGAAGAAAAGACAUUCUGUGAUAGGAGGACCUUGGCCAUGUCACUCACCACUCUGUUCUCCUCAUUCAAAAGAUGAGCCUGGAACAUAAUAAUCAAUGUACAUUUUACAAAGUCAAAAUUCUAAUUACAGAUUCUAGGGAACAAAUAGCACUGUACAAGCUUCUCUGAGCUGUACUUUGCUUCUCCUCUUGCUAUGUUAUGAACUGCUUUACAGACUGGAUUGAAAGACGUGGACAUGAGAUCAUGUUGCACCUUAUGAAGACACACAGUAAAAAAUUAUUCAAGCCACUCAAGAUUUUGUAUUAAGCAAUUUAGUGGCUUUAAAAAUAAGACUGACUACUUUACAUGCUAUGUUCUUUUUCAGAACAUGUAUGGAGAGGAGGCUUGGGGUCUAAGUCUAAACAUGGACAAGGCCAUGGACAGCCUUCAAGGACAAAAAGAAAGGGAUGCUCCCUAGCUACACAUGAAUUUAUAGUAUUUUCUAAGUGCUUUCUCUGAAUCUUGGCUUUAUAAUUUUAAUUAAAAUAUACUAAUGGAGACAAGUUUGAAUAAAAAAUGAUUCAUAUAUAAUCUGAAUUUGUAUCUUUUAUUUUUGUAUUUUAUAGUUUAAGAAAAAAAAAACACACAAAACAUAAAAUCAAACAGUUGAAACGAUAGUUUUCAAGAACUGACACUUGAGGCUGGUGUUGAAAAUAGUAGGUUAAGUGGUUGUUUGCAAUACUGGCAUCCCAUAUCAGAGUCCCAGCUGUUCCCUUUCCUAACCAGCUUCCUGCUAACAUGCCUAGGAAAGCAGCCAAAAAUGGCUCAAGUACUUGGGCCUCUGCCUCCCAUGUGGGACACCUGGAUGGGGCUACUGAUACCUUGCUUCAUUCUUCCCCAACCCUGGCCAUUGCAGCCACUUGGGGAGUGAAACAGUAGAUAAAAGAUCUGUCUCUCUCUCUCUCUCUCUCUGUCUCCUUCUCUGUUCACUCUGCCUUUCAAAAAAAUAAAUUUUUUAAUAAAAAAACACUUUAUUACUGAGCACCAAAAGGGAAACCUGUUGAAGUGAAAUUGACACAUGAGAAACAGUGACCUGAUCAGCUCUUGUCCUGACUGUUGAUGUGCAAUGUGAUACUUUAUCCAUUUUAGUAUUUUUUUUGUUCUAGUACUAUUGGUUGAACUCUGUAAUUGACACACAAUUAUUCUUAGGUGUUUAAAUUUUAACUGAAAAGUGAUACCUGUUAGGAAUCUGGAAAGCAUUAUGUUGAGUGAAAUAAAACAGUCCCAAAGGGACAAAUACCAUAUGUUCUCCCUGAUCCGUGACAACUAACUGAACACCAAAAAGGAAAACUGUUAAAGUGAAAUGAACACUAUGAGAAACAGUGACUUGAUCAGCCCUUGCCCUGACUGUUGAUGAACAAAUUAAUAUGUUAUCCCUCUUAGUAUUUUUUUUGUUUAUUCUACUUAAUACUUUUGGUUGAAUACUGUAAUCAAUAUACAGUUAUUCUCAAGUGUUGAAACUUCACUGAAAAGUGAUUGCUGUUAAAUAGAAGAGUGGGAAUAAGAGGGAAGAGAUGUGCAAUUCGGGACAUGCUCAAGCUGACUUACCUCAAACGGUAGAGUUAGAAACAUACCAGGGGAUUCCAAUUCAAUCCCAUCAAGGUGGCAUGUACCAAUGCCAUCUCACUAGUCCCAGUGAUCAAUUUCUGUUCGCAAUUGAUCAUAAUGAUAGGACUAAUAGCCAAAGGGAGCACAUAACCAAGACUAGUGUCUGCAAAUACUAGCUGAUAGAAUCAAAAAGGGAGAGAACGAUCCAACAUGGGAAGUGAGAUACACAGCAGACCCAUAGAAUGGCAGAUGUCCUAAACAGCACUCUGGCCUCAGAAUCAGCUGUUAAGGCAUGCGGAUCUGGCUGAAAAGACCAUGAGAGUAUUUCAGGCAUGGAAAGCCAAAACACUCUGGCAAAAAAAAAAAAAUACCCUGCAUGAAAGAUCUCGGUGAGUGAGAUCGCAGUGAAAAGAACAGGUCAUCAAAGGAGGUACCUUUCUCUGAAGAGAGGAGAGAACUUCCACUUUGACUAUGACCCUGUCUAAAUAUGAUCAGAGUUGGUGAACUCAAAAGGCUUCCAUAGCCUUGGCAAUUCAUGACAAGAGCCUAGGGUGAUUACUGAUGCCAUAAACAAGAGUGUCAAUUUGUUAAGUCAACAACAGGAGUCACUGUGCACUUACUCCUC